rnacentral:rRNA from 1 species
GCGGAGGAAAAGAAACUAACAAGGAUUCCCCUAGUAACGGCGAGUGAAGCGGGAAAAGCUCAAAUUUGAAAUCUGGCAGCCUCAGGUUGUCCGAGUUGUAAUCUAUAGAAACGUUUUCCGCGCUGGCCCAUGUACAAGUCCCUUGGAAUAGGGCGUCAUAGAGGGUGAGAAUCCCGUCCUUGACACGGACCACCAGUGCUUUGUGAUACGUUUUCAACGAGUCGAGUUGUUUGGGAAUGCAGCUCAAAAUGGGUGGUAAAUUCCAUCUAAAGCUAAAUAUUGGCGAGAGACCGAUAGCGAACAAGUACCGUGAGGGAAAGAUGAAAAGCACUUUGGAAAGAGAGUUAAACAGUAUGUGAAAUUGUUGAAAGGGAAACGAUUGAAGUCAGUCGUGUCUAUUGGACUCAGCCGGUUCUGCCGGUGUACUUCCUUUAGAUGGGGUCAACAUCAGUUUUGAUCGCUGGAAAAGGGCGGGAGGAAUGUAGCACUCUCGGGUGAACUUAUAGCCUUCCGUCGUAUACAGUGGUUGGGACUGAGGAACGCAGCAUGCCUUUAUGGCCGGGGUUCGCCCACGUACAUGCUUAGGAUGUUGACAUAAUGGCUUUAAACGACCCGUCU